UGAAUACGAGAUGCUACGGCGUCGAAGCAGUCUAUGUCAUACUUCCAAGAAAAGCUUGCACUGUCAUAAACAAAUAAUGCCUGUACCAUAACCGACACAGGUGGUAGGUAGAGUAUACUAAGGGGCGCGAGAUAACUCUCUCUAAGGAACUCGGCAAAAUGACUCCGUAACUUCGGGAGAAGGAGUGCCUUAUUUAUAAGGUUGCAAUAACAAGAUCCAAGCAACUGUUUACCAAAAACACAGGUCUCCGCUAAGUCGUAAGACGAUGUAUGGGGGCUGACGCCUGCCCAGUGCCAGAAGGUUAAAGAAGUUGGUUAGCAUCCGCGAAGCUGAUAACUGAAGCCCUGGUGAACGGCGGCCGUAACAAUAACGGUCCUAAGGUAGCGAAAUUCCUUGUCGGGUAAGUUCCGACCCGCACGAAAGGCGUAAUGAUUUGGAUACUGUCUCGGAGAGGGGCUCGGUGAAAUAGACUUGUCUGUGAAGAUGCGGACUACCUGCACCAGGACAGAAAGACCCUAUGAAGCUUUACUGUAACCUGAAAUUGAAAUUGGACUUUACUUGCGCAGUAUAGGUGGGAGGCGUUGAGAAUAUUCUUGCGGGAUUAUUGGAGCCAUCAGUGAGAUACCACUCUUGUAAUGUUAGAUUUCUAACUUUGUAUCAUUAUCUGGUCAAAGAACAGUUUCAGGCGGGCAGUUUGACUGGGGCGGUCGCCUCCUAAACGGUAACGGAGGCGCACAAAGGUUUCCUCUGAACGGGUAGAAAUCGUAUCUAGAGUGUAAAGGCAUAAGGAAGCUUGGCUGUGAGACCUACAAGUCGAGCAGGGACGAAAGUCGGUCUUAGUGAUCUGACGGUGCUGAGUGGAAAGGCCGUCACUCAACGGAUAAAAGUUACUCUAAGGAUAACAGGCUGAUCUCCCCCAAGAGUUCACAUCGACGGGGAGGUUUGGCACCUCGAUGUCGGCUCAUCGCAUCCUGGGGCGGUAGUACGUCCCAAGGGUUGGGCUGUUCGCCCAUGAAAGCGGUACGCGAGCUGGGUUCAGAACGUCGUGAGACAGUUCGGUCCAUAUCCGGUGUAGGCGUUAGAAUGUUGAGAGGAGCCUUCUUUAGUACGAGAGGACCGAGAAGGACAUACCUCUGGUGUACCAGUUAUCGUGCCAACGGUAAACGCUGGGUAGCUAUGUGUGGAGUGGAUAACCGCUGAAAGCAUCUAAGUGGGAAGCCCACCUCAAGAUAAGUAUUCUCAUA
rnacentral:rRNA from 1 species